UGCCUAACACAUGCAAGUCGAACGGUAACAGUCCUUCGGGAGCUGACGAGUGGCGCACGGGUGAGUAACGCGUGGAUAUCUGCCUAUGAGUGGGGGACAACUUUCGGAAACGGAAGCUAAUACCGCAUACACUUUACGGAGUAAAGCAGGGGACCUUCGGGCCUUGUGCUCAUAGAUGAGUCCGCGUCAGAUUAGCUAGUUGGUAGGGUAAAAGCCUACCAAGGCGAUGAUCUGUAACUGGUUUGAGAGGAUGAUCAGUCACACUGGAACUGAGACACGGUCCAGACUUCUACGGAAGGCAGCAGUGGGGAAUUUUGCACAAUGGGCGCAAGCCUGAUGCAGCGAUGCCGCGUGUGGGAAGAAGGCUUUAGGGUUGUAAACCACUUUCAAUUGGGAAGAAGAGAUGAGCGUUAAUAACGCUCUGAUUUGACGGUACCUUUAGAAGAAGCACCGGCUAAUUUCGUGCCAGCAGCCGCGGUAAUACGAAAGGUGCAAGCGUUGUUCGGAUUUACUGGGCGUAAAGAGAUCGUAGGUGGUUUGUUAAGUUGGAUGUGAAAUCCCGGGGCUCAACCUCGGAACUGCAUCCAAAACUGACGGACUUGAGUUUGGGAGGGGUAAGCGGAAUUCCGUGUGUAGCAGUGAAAUGCGUAGAUAUACGGAGGAACACCUGAGGCGAAGGCGGCUUACUGGACCAAUACUGACACUGAGGAUCGAAAGCGUGGGUAGCAAACAGGAUUAGAUACCCUGGUAGUCCACGCCCUAAACGAUGUCAACUAGCCGUUGCGGGUAUCGACCCCUGCAGUGGCGCAGCUAACGCGAUAAGUUGACCGCCUGGGGAGUACGGU
rnacentral:rRNA from 1 species